rnacentral:lncRNA from 10 species
ACUCUUGAGGACAAGGACCUUCUCUGGACACAGAUAUGCCUCAGAGUAACUGUUGCAUAGCAUUCAGACACUGCUGGUUGAAUUGUCCAUUUACUUGGCAUGCCAACACAUGGCAAAGUAAAGGGGGAAGGAGAUUUUCUGCUGCAUGUGGCUUUAACCAAGAGAGCAGAUCCAGCUGAGCUUAGAACAAUAUUUUUGAAG